rnacentral:lncRNA from 1 species
CCCUGGUGAAGUACAGAUGUCGCAACCACAGAGGCGCAGAAACCUCCAGGUUCCUAGAGCGGACCGGAAAUGACGCCCGCGGCGGGAAGCCGAGCGUCGGGUGGGGGACCCGAGCGGUCCCUGUGCUCGCCGGCUCCCUGCGGCUGUGGGCUCCCGCGGAGUGCGAACCCGGCUCCCCAAAGCCGGAGGCGCCGCAGGACCGCCAAGGGCUUUGAGGCGGCCCGAGAAGGGCCAGGCUUCGGAGCCUGCCACCUGACGAAGGCGGGACGUGGGGGGACGCGUCCAGAAGCGUAGGUCUGCGACGAGAGCUGCCCCCGCGGCACUAAGGUUGGCUCCGGAGGCGCCCGGCUGCGGGGGAAGCAGUAGCCGCUUCUCCUCGGCCUUCAGGAGGGAACGGAGGGGAUGGCUGUGCGGAGACAGCCCUCGGGCCCGGCUGCAGAAGGAGCUGGCCUGGCCGCUCCCCAUCAGGCGAGGUCCACCCGGAGCAGCCUGGCCUUGCGGAUGGCAGGACGUCCCUGUCGGGCGAGCCCGUGGUCAGAUGAUAGCAGUCCAUCGACCUCAACAGCCUGCCUCUACCCAGAAGUCAUUAGAGAUGAAAGUUCUUGAGCAGCGUUGAUGUGCAGAGAGUGCUCCGCCGGAUCCCCGAGUCCGUCUGGCCCUUGCUUCUGCGCGGGCGCUGUUCUGGGACACUGCCUCGUUCCUGAUCGUAAAGGAAAAGCUCUCAUUUCUUCACCUUGGAGAAGGAUGUUAGCUCUGGGCUCAUAUUCCAUCUCAAAUUAUGUUCAGUUCAUGUGGUGUAUCCCACUAAUCCAGUCAUCUCUGAGGUGUGUUGAUGAUGAUGAAUAUCCCGGGAAACCUGGCAAGACUGUGUCCCAGAUCUACCAGUUAACGUGCUUUAAGUGGAAGAACCUGAACAGAGACAUGAUCCUCACCUGUCAUGUCCUGGCCACCAUCCUGGUGUACUCUUCCCUGGGUGGAAAGAGAACUGCCUGGAGAGGCCUGCGUCCUCAUCCGUGCACCCUUCAAAGACCACAGGAGUCAGACGUGCUGGGAGCCCAAACACAAGCCCAGUGA